AGUGGGAGCUCCCACUGUCUUCUGUCAGAGUGCUCCCUUGUGCAGCUUUGUUUAGCCAACAUCUUCAGGAGGAUUCAGCACCAGCGGGUGCUGCAGAGCACUGGGAAGCUUCAACGACCUGGAGGAUAUUCAGCUUCAACAGGAGAUGUACACAAAGCUGAAGUAAUAAAGCCUUUCCAGAAGCUUUAAUAUGGAACCUAGUGACUGAGCAAGAUUUUAGCAGUGCUUCUAUAUUCAUAGGCCUGAGCAGGAAGGAUUCACGACAAUUCUGCCAAAGUUAAAGUGAAGCGAGAAAGGAAAUCAACAGCUGAUAAUCCACAGGCAAUCAAAUCAAAUAUUUCUUGGAUCAAAACCAUGAAUUGGGAAUGAGCAGAGGUGUAGCGACUUCAAUUCUGUGGAUUUUUCCCUCACGAUUUUACAUCCAUUUUCGUGUAAAAUGGAUCCGGUGUCCUCUUCCUUCACUUGAUGUUUGGCUUUUUCAAAUAACAGAGUCACAGCAGCAAAAUUUAACUUAAUUUAUUUAGAACUUCAAAACCAAAGUGGGAUUUCCUCAUAAGAUGCCAUCAUUUCCAUGAGAUGGAAACAUGUUAACACUACUGGAACAGUGAAUUUUUAUGUUUCUUUCUAAGGAAAGAUCAUUCCACAAGUCAGUUUCUGUACAGUUCUCCACAAUGUUUAUGUUGAAUUUGCAGAAAUUUGCCCUUGAUUUGCAGAAAGAUCUUCCUAAAACUUUCACUUAAGAAAGCUCAGUUUGCUUCAACAUUUAACAGUUUAGCAACUUUCUGGGGAAAAAAAAAAAAAAAAAAAAAAAAGCUUCCAGAAGAGGAAAACGCUUCUAAAAACUACCUGGGCAAAUUUAAACAAGGAUGAAUCCAAUAAAAAUGCAGGAAAAGGAUAAUUUCCUCAUUCAAAGAAGACUUAUUUUCUAUGUUAUGUAUUUGUUUAUUUGCUUUCAGUCUUGAAAGAAAUAUUUCUACAAGUUUAAGAGCACAUUUUGACUAUUCAAAAUCUCCUCCUAUUUCAAUGUUGUGUUUGCCAGGCAUAAAAGCCUGUUAGACAUUCAUAUAACAGAUUAACUGUAAAGUACUGGAUAAACCCACUCAGUGUUUUCAAAUAUAUCAUUAAAAGAAUGGUUUCUGGGAGGAGAAAAAAAUGAAAACCCUACAGAUUUCUAAAGCUUUCCUGCCUUUAGGUAAUAAGGAAGGGGGGAAAAAAAAGAAAGAAAAAGAACAGUUGCAAGUCAAAGCAGGUAACUUUUCACUGGAAGAGAAUUUCAAUACUUAAUUGUAAUUUCUAUCAACAGAGAAAACUCAUAAUCAUUCUUAUCACCUAAAAUAGCUUGUUAAACAUGAAAAAAGCUUAUUGCUGAAACAGGCUGGAAUCAUAUCUGGGCAGGAAUCAUAAGCAGAAACG